ACCAAGGCGACGAUCCGUAACUGGUCUGAGAGGAUGAUCAGUCACACUGGAACUGAGACACGGUCCAGACUCCUACGGGAGGCAGCAGUGGGGAAUAUUGGACAAUGGGCGAAAGCCUUGAUCCAGCCAUGCCGCGUGUGUGAAGAAGGUCUUCGGAUUGUAAAGCACUUUAAGUUGGGAGGAAGGGCAGUUACCGUAAUACGUGAUUGUUUUGACGUUACCGACAGAAUAAGCACCGGCUAACUCUGUGCCAGCAGCCGCGGUAAUACAGAGGGUGCAAGCGUUAAUCGGAAUUACUGGGCGUAAAGCGCGCGUAGGUGGUUUGUUAAGUUGGAUGUGAAAUCCCCGGGCUCAACCUGGGAACUGCAUUCUAAAACUGACUGACUAGAGUAUGGUAGAGGGUGGUGGAAUUUCCUGUGUAGCGGUGUAAAUGCGUAGAUAU
rnacentral:rRNA from 1 species